GUUUGAUCAUGGCUCAGAUUGAACGCUGGCGGCAGGCCUAACACAUGCAAGUCGAGCGGAUGAAGGGAGCUUGCUCCUGGAUUCAGCGGCGGACGGGUGAGUAAUGCCUAGGAAUCUGCCUGGUAGUGGGGGAUAACGUCCGGAAACGGGCGCUAAUACCGCAUACGUCCUGAGGGAGAAAGUGGGGGAUCUUCGGACCUCACGCUAUCAGAUGAGCCUAGGUCGGAUUAGCUAGUUGGUGGGGUAAAGGCCUACCAAGGCGACGAUCCGUAACUGGUCUGAGAGGAUGAUCAGUCACACUGGAACUGAGACACGGUCCAGACUCCUACGGGAGGCAGCAGUGGGGAAUAUUGGACAAUGGGCGAAAGCCUGAUCCAGCCAUGCCGCGUGUGUGAAGAAGGUCUUCGGAUUGUAAAGCACUUUAAGUUGGGAGGAAGGGCAGUAAGUUAAUACCUUGCUGUUUUGACGUUACCAACAGAAUAAGCACCGGCUAACUUCGUGCCAGCAGCCGCGGUAAUACGAAGGGUGCAAGCGUUAAUCGGAAUUACUGGGCGUAAAGCGCGCGUAGGUGGUUCAGCAAGUUGGAUGUGAAAUCCCCGGGCUCAACCUGGGAACUGCAUCCAAAACUACUGAGCUAGAGUACGGUAGAGGGUGGUGGAAUUUCCUGUGUAGCGGUGAAAUGCGUAGAUAUAGGAAGGAACACCAGUGGCGAAGGCGACCACCUGGACUGAUACUGACACUGAGGUGCGAAAGCGUGGUGAGCAAACAGGAUUAGAUACCCUGGUAGUCCACGCCGUAAACGAUGUCGACUAGCCGUUGGGAUCCUUGAGAUCUUAGUGGCGCAGCUAACGCGAUAAGUCGACCGCCUGGGGAGUACGGCCGCAAGGUUAAAACUCAAAUGAAUUGACGGGGGCCCGCACAAGCGGUGGAGCAUGUGGUUUAAUUCGAAGCAACGCGAAGAACCUUACCUGGCCUUGACAUGCUGAGAACUUUCCAGAGAUGGAUUGGUGCCUUCGGGAACUCAGACACAGGUGCUGCAUGGCUGUCGUCAGCUCGUGUCGUGAGAUGUUGGGUUAAGUCCCGUAACGAGCGCAACCUUUGUCCUUAGUUACCAGCACCUCGGGUGGGCACUCUAAGGAGACUGCCGGUGACAAACCGGAGGAAGGUGGGGAUGACGUCAAGUCAUCAUGGCCCUUACGGCCAGGGCUACACACGUGCUACAAUGGUCGGUACAAAGGGUUGCCAAGCCGCGAGGUGGAGCUAAUCCCAUAAAACCGAUCGUAGUCCGGAUCGCAGUCUGCAACUCGACUGCGUGAAGUCGGAAUCGCUAGUAAUCGUGAAUCAGAAUGUCACGGUGAAUACGUUCCCGGGCCUUGUACACACCGCCCGUCACACCAUGGGAGUGGGUUGCUCCAGAGGUAGCUAGUCUAACCGCAAGGGGGACGGUUACCACGGAGUGAUUCAUGACUGGGGUGAAGUCGAAACAAGGUA
rnacentral:rRNA from 1 species